UUGAACGCUGGCGGCAGGCCUAACACAUGCAAGUCGAACGGUAACAGGAAACAGCUUGCUGUUUCGCUGACGAGUGGCGGACGGGUGAGUAAUGUCUGGGAAACUGCCUGAUGGAGGGGGAUAACUACUGGAAACGGUAGCUAAUACCGCAUAACGUCGCAAGACCAAAGAGGGGGACCCUCGGGCCUCUUGCCAUCGGAUGUGCCCAGAUGGGAUUAGCUUGUUGGUGGGGUAACGGCUCACCAAGGCGACGAUCCCUAGCUGGUCUGAGAGGAUGACCAGCCACACUGGAACUGAGACACGGUCCAGACUCCUACGGGAGGCAGCAGUGGGGAAUAUUGCACAAUGGGCGCAAGCCUGAUGCGGCCAUGCCGCGUGUAUGAAGAAGGCCUUCGGGUUGUAAAGUACUUUCAGCGGGGAGGAAGGGAGUAAAGUUAAUACCUUUGCUCAUUGACGUUACCCGCAGAAGAAGCACCGGCUAACUCCGUG
rnacentral:rRNA from 1 species